rnacentral:rRNA from 1 species
AUUGAACGCUGGCGGCAUGCUUUACACAUGCAAGUCGAACGGCAGCGCGGGCUUCGGCCUGGCGGCGAGUGGCGAACGGGUGAGUAAUGCAUCGGAACGUGCCCAGUAGUGGGGGAUAGCCCGGCGAAAGCCGGAUUAAUACCGCAUACGACCUGAGGGUGAAAGCGGGGGACCGAAAGGCCUCGCGCGAUUGGAGCGGCCGAUGUCGGAUUAGCUAGUUGGUGGGGUAAAGGCUUACCUAGCAGACGAUCCGUAGCUGGUCUGAGAGGACGAGCAGCCACAUGGGGACUGAGACACGGCCCAGACUCCUACGGGAGGCAGCAGUGGGGAAUGUUGGACAAUGGGGGCAACCCUGAUCCAGCCAUGCCGCGUGCGGGAAGAAGGCCUUCGGGUUGUAAAGCGCUUUUGUUCGGGAAGAAAUCCUCUGGGCUAAUACCCCGGGGGGAUGACGGUACCGGAAGAAUAAGCACCGGCUAACUACGUG